CCCGUCCGCCGCCCGCCCGCGGUGCAUGAGCUCGUCCCCCCGCGCCCGGCCCAGUGUGUUGCGGGGGACCCUCCCUCGGGCGCCCGCCCGCCCGCCUCCAUGGCCAUGCUGCUGGACGGGGGGGCGCAGUUCCCCGCCCUGGGAGUCGGGGGCUUCGGGGCCCCCCGCCACCCCGAGGGGCCCAGCCGCGGCGACGCCGGGAUGGGGCUGAGCCCCUUCGCCGACGCCUCGCACGCGGCGGCCUUUAAGCUCAGCCCGGCCGCCCACGAGCUCUCGUCCGGGCAGAGCUCGGCCUUCACCCCGCAGGGCUCGGGCUAUGCCAACGCGCUGGGGCACCACCACCACCACCACCACGCCGGCCAGGUGCCCGCCUACGGGGGCGCGGCCGCCGCCUUCAACUCCACGCGGGACUUUCUCUUCCGCCAGCGGGGCUCCGGCCUGGGGGAGGCCGCCUCCGGGGGCGCCCAGCACAGCAUCUUCGGCGGCUCCCCCGGCAGCCUGCACGGGGCGCCGGGCAUCGCGGAGAGCCCGGGCUACCUGCUCUUCCCGGGGCUGCACGAGCAGGGCCCCAGCCACACCUCGCCCGGCGGGCACGUGGAGAGCGGGCAGAUGCACCUGGGGCUGCGGGGGGAUCUCUUCGGCCGGCCCGACCCUUACCGGGCCGUCUCCAGCCCCCGCACGGACCCGUACGCCGGCGCCCAGUUCCACAACUACACCCCCAUGAACAUGAAUAUGGGCAUGAACGUGGCGGCCCAUCACCACCACGGCCCGGGGGCUUUCUUCCGCUACAUGCGCCAGCCCAUCAAGCAAGAGCUGUCCUGCAAGUGGGUCGAGGAGAGCCAGAUCAACCGCCCCAAAAAGAGCUGCGACCGGACAUUCACUACCAUGCACGAACUGGUCACCCAUGUGACGAUGGAGCAUGUCGGGGGGCCGGAGCAGAACAACCACAUCUGCUACUGGGAGGAAUGUCCGAGGGAAGGCAAGUCCUUCAAGGCGAAAUACAAACUGGUGAACCACAUUCGGGUUCACACGGGGGAAAAACCGUUCCCUUGCCCGUUCCCAGGCUGCGGGAAAAUCUUUGCCCGGUCCGAGAAUCUGAAGAUCCACAAAAGGACGCACACAGGUGAAAAACCUUUUAAGUGUGAAUUUGAAGGCUGUGAUAGACGUUUUGCGAACAGUAGUGACAGAAAGAAGCACAUGCACGUACACACUUCAGACAAGCCUUAUAUCUGUAAAGUGUGUGACAAGUCUUACACGCACCCCAGCUCUCUUAGGAAACACAUGAAGGUUCACGAAUCGCAAGGGUCAGAUUCCUCCCCAGCUGCCAGUUCAGGCUACGAAUCGUCCACUCCGCCCGCUAUAAGUUCUGCUAACAGUAAAGACUCUACUAAAAGUCCUCCAUCAGUCCUUCAGAGUAACACAAGCCACAACCCCGGACUUCCACCCAAUUUUAACGAAUGGUACGUCUAAGGACAGAGCAGCCGAGCUUAACUGUAGACUGGACCAAAUGAAUUCGAAGGAAAACGGAAAAUCAAUCACAGGGAAAUGGAGUUUUCAGGCAAACAACCGUACAGGGCUACAUCCAGUUCAUUGCAAUUAUCCAGGAAAGGGUUUUUAAUUUUUUUUUGCAAGAUCCAGACGCUGGACUAGCUAUGUCCUUUUCUCAGGAUUGGAUUUUUUUUGUUUGGUUUUGGCAUUUGCAGUAAUUUCUUUGAUUUUUUUUUCUCUCUUCCCUCUUCCAAUCGCCUCUCCUUCUCCCUUCAUUUGAACACUGUUUUUUAUUUUUUUAUUAUCGUCUCUCUCCUUUUUUGGCUUUUUCUUCCUUCGGUGGGAUGCUGACAUGAGGAUGAAAAUUCUCCUUCGCCUUAGUGGUGAUUGUUUAAACUCACAUUCUUAAACCGUGCCAAAGUCCUGUUAUGUCUUGAAUCUCUCUCUCUCUCUCUCUAUCUCUCUCUCUCAAAGCAUUAUACUUGUGAAUGUAUUCUCGUCUGAUGGGUUCGUCCGGUAUUUUUCAAGAUGAGGCUGUGGUGUUAUUCUACCCAGAUUGUGACCGUUUAGUAAAACAGUUGCCUUUUUGUAAUACCUUUUUUUUGUAAAUACAUAUCCAUGAUGCCAUAUUUAUCGUUUGUAAUUUAAUUAUUGAUACGAAGUGCCGGGAACUGAACAAUAUUUAUGGGGGGUGGGGUCGGGGAGUGUUUUCUAACAAAAAAAAAAACCCAACAAAAAAAAACCCAACAAAAAAAUUACAAAACUCUGUACAGUUUUUGGUUAUAACUGCUUUAGCAUUAAAAGUUUAUUGUUUUUGGAAGAACACAAUGGAAUAGUUUUUGAACCACUGUUUUGUAUUUCCUUAUCGCUUUGUGAACUACUCUUUGCACCCAGCACUGGCCAAGUAACUACAUAUCAAAGUGUUUGUAUCUCAUUACCAUUCUUUAUAGGAAUUGGUUUCCCUAUUGCAGGCUAGCAAUAUACACUGUUUCUUUCAAUAGGGGAAUGAGGGUCGUUGUUGUUUUUCCUCAUCUCCGCUCCCACAUCCCAAUGGUUUGUUUUCACCUCGAGCUUCAUAUGUUUGUUUCUGCACUUUCUGCCAGCGAAUCAAAUAUUACUGACCUGUCCUGUGAGGGUCCAUGACGUGUCUCUAUCUUGCACUUCAAAGAAGAGGAGCUGCAUUUAGGACUCCCAGUGCUGAUCCGUAAACAUCAGAAGGAUUUAACAAUAUAUGAUGCGUUACUGACUAUCACCAUUUGUGUACAUACGUAAACUGUUAGCAUUUCCCCCCUAGCUCUAAGGAUGUGAGUAAUUUGAUGGGAGCCCUGCUGCACCUUUCAUGUCUGGAUUUCCCCCAGACAGUCCCAUCUUGAACUUGACACUGGGAAGGGCUGGACUGAAAAUACUGUUUGUUUACUUCUUGCUUUAGGAUUUCUUAGGCAACUUAGAUCAAAUGCACAAAUCGUUUUAAAAAAAGGAGGAAAAGUUUAUCGGAAAUAACGUCUGAGCCCAAGCAGAUCGAUUACGAUCUUUGACACGAUGCCUGCACUUCCAAAAUGAGGACUAGUUCGCCACUUUCUACAGUGCUCUUUUCCAUGUCCUACUUUUCCCACGUGAAAGAAUUAUCUUUGAUUUUAAAAAAUGCAUUUCGAUUUCUUCUGUGGAGCUAAAUAUUUCUUUUGCGAUAUACAGAGCAGUCUUGAACCGCAAGGCAACGGACUAGAAACCCUGCACCACUAAAGUUCUCAACUUUACACUGAAGCAAGUAGCCCUGUGACACGCUGCAAAAUAAAGAAAAAGCCCAAGUCUUGCAAGAGAUCCAUGCAGGGAACUCUGUCUUGUCAGUGAGACCAAGGUUUACCCCUGUUACAUUUGGUGUUUCAAGCUGGGCACCAGAAAAAGGAGCCCAACAAAUGAGGAUUAAGGUCUUGAUCCAGCAUCUACUGGAGUCAGUGGAAACCUUUCCAUUUAUUUCAGUGGGCCCAACUGUUGAGAUAACUUUUGCAAACACUAGUUACUAUGAAUAUGCAAACACUAGUUACUAUGAAUAUGCUAAUUUCUAUGCAGUUUUAAUUUAUUAAAUGUACCAUACUCUACUGUAGAGUCCAUGUGAUGCUGUCUUUAAUCAGGAUGACAUUGCAUUGAAGUCUACAUCGAUUAUAGUCCCAAUUUCAGACUAAGACUACUUGAUCAACUUUUUAAAACACUGUUAAGGAACUAGAACAACUGUAAUACUAAAGUGACUCUGAGCUUAUUAU